UUACGGCCAUAUCAAACUAAAACACCGGUUCCCGUAUGAUCACCAAGAGUUAAGCAACGUUGAGUCUGGUCAUUACCUAAAUUGGUGACCGCUUGGGAAUACUAGAUGCUGUAAG